CUGACCCAGGAUGGACCUGGAUUUGAUACCUGGCAUCCCAUGCAUUACGCCUUUCAGGAGAGUAAUUUCUGAGCACAGUCAGGAAUAACCCCUGAGCACUUCUAGGUGUGGCCCCCAAAUCAAAAAUAAAUAAAUAAAAUAAUUAAUUUGGGGAAGAGUCACACUCAGUGGUGCUUAAAGCUGACUAAUGUGCUUAGGGUCACUGUUGGUUGUACUCGGGUUUAUAAGGAGUGCUAGGGAUAGAACCUAGAUCAGCUGCCUG